rnacentral:rRNA from 1 species
UACGUAGGGUGCAGGCGUUAAUCGGAAUUACUGGGCGUAAAGCGUGCGCAGGCGGUUUGCUAAGACAGGUGUGAAAUCCCCGGGCUUAACCUGGGAACUGCGCUUGUAACUGGCAAGCUUGAGUGUGGCAGAGGGGGGUGGAAUUCCACGUGUAGCGGUGAAAUGCGUAGAGAUGUGGAGGAACACCGAUGGCGAAGGCAGCCUCCUGGGCCAACACUGACGCUCAUGCACGAAAGCGUGGGGAGCAAACAGG